GAGCUUUGCAUAGGGUAGACACAGGGCUGCUGAGGUCCUUUCUGCAGAGGUGCCCAGGGCUGAGAGUUAUGGAGCAUUCAAGGGUCUUGACACUGGCUCUCCAUGCUGAUCCAACCAGGACCCGCCUCUCUGACUGGGUGCAUUGCCUGAGUCCCUCUAGCUCCUCUUCCUUUUCUCUCUCCCCAAACCAGGUACUUCAAAGGCUCAUCAAGUCCCGAGGAAAGUCUCAGUCCAAACACCUCAAUGUCCAAAUAGCGGCCUCGGAAAAGCUGGCACAGUGCCCCCCUGAAAUGUUUGACAUCAUCCUGGAUGAGAACCAAUUGGAGGAUGCCUGCGAGCAUCUGGCGGAGUACUUGGAAGCCUAUUGGAAGGCCACACACCCGCCCAGCAGCACGCCACCCAAUCC
rnacentral:lncRNA from 1 species